ensembl:lncRNA
AUGAGCGAGACCCAGCUCAAAUGUUCAUAUGGGUUAUUUGUGCCCAACCUAUGGGAGACAGAGACUUCUGAGUUCACAUUGGUCUCAUCAGCCACAGUAGACCACAACACAGCAAUGUCAUUUUGGUCUUCUUUAAGUAUGAAAGACAACCAACCAAUCUUCUUUCUUUCUUUCUUUCUUUCUUUCUUUCUUUCUUUCUUUCUUUCUUUCUUUCCUGUACCUAGCUUUGUAUCUGGCAGCUUCACUCCCUAUCAUCCAGAUUUUCUCUUUCAUGCAACAGUAGUCUUCUUGUCCUGGAAGUUCACUUCACCCCUGGACUUUUCUCACUGAAAAUACUCUCCACUUCUGAAAGCCCCUUCUCCUAAUGGCCUUGUUCCUCCAAGAAACUCCAUUUUGAGGAAAAUAUUCAGACCACUCAUGUCUAUUCCUCUCCAAUCUUCACUUCUGAAUCUCUUAACUAUUGUAUUGUUGUUGUUCAAUUGUGUCCAAUCCUAUGAAACUCCCAUGGACUUUUGUCAAUGGAGUUUUCUUAACAGAAUUAAUAGAUUGCUUUUCCAUUUCUUUCUCCAGACCAUUUUAUAGAUGAAGAACUAAGGCAAACAGGGUUAAGUGGCUUAUCCAGGGUCACACAGAAAGUAAGCAUCAAGGUCAGAUUUGAACUCAGGAAGAUGUCUCCCUGAUUCCAAGCCCAUUGUUUUAUCUACUGUGCCACCUGGUUGCCUGUACUUGGCACACAGGAAAUGUUUAAAAAAUACUUGCUUAGACUUAAAUUUGCUUAAUGAAAUGCUUGUUGACUUUAAUGAUCCCAAGCUUCCUGUAGAAACAAAGAUCCACCUUCUUCAUAACAUUUUGUAAACCCUUACCCUCCAUCUUAGAAUCAAUAGUAAAUUUUGGUUCCAAGGCAGAAAAGCAGCAAAGGCUAGGCAAUAGGAAUGCCUUUCUCAUGGUCCCAAACCUAGAAAGUGUCUGAGGUCAGAUUUGAACUUGGGACCUCCUAUCUCCAGGCCUGACUCUAUCCACUACCCCAUUAUAACAUCAACAUUUUACCAAUGUUUCAAUGUGGCAAAAAGACAACAGCCUCCAAAGAAUUUAAAUGAAUAUUGCACAGGGUCUGUGGAGAGGUGUAUGGUAGAUGUAAGCAGACCACAAUAUAUAACCAAGGAACAUUUAAAUACAGGUAAAUAAGGAGUGUUAAAAUGCAGAAUGAGUUUUGGUUGGCUAGGAAAGUUUAGGACAAUCAGAUGGAUUUGGGGAGUUUUUAUAAGCAAUGUUAGGGAAAAGAAGAUCAAAUAAGCAAGAAGACUGCAGCUCAGAGUGGGUGGGAGGCAAC